rnacentral:lncRNA from 1 species
GCCCAGUAACUAGAAUAUGCAUAUCAUUAUUGGCUUUGGAUAGAAAACACCCUAAAGUUUCUAAAACAGUUUGAAUGGUGUCUGUGAGGUAGGGGGCAGUAUAUGCACGGCCGGAUAAAAAACGUACCCGAUUUAAUCUGGUUACUACUCCUGCCCAGUAACUAGAAUAUGCAUAUCAUUAUUGGCUUUGGAUAGAAAACACCCUAAAGUUUCUAAAACAGUUUGAAUGGUGUCUGUGAGUAUAUAUAUAGUAUGUAAAUACUGCCCCCUAGCCCUAACAGGUUAAAAUGGUGUAAAAUAGUCAUAUGUUUGAGAAAUUGAAGUAAUAGCAUUUCUAAGGUAUUUGAAUAUCGCGCCACGGGAUUCCACUGGCUGUUGAGUAGGUGGGACGAUUUCGUCCCAAAUACCCUAGAGAGGUUUUUAAAUAACUAUUUUGUUGUUGCAAUUUGCACGGUUAUGACAGUGACCGCAGUCAUUUAGCUGACCAAUUACCAUCAUCCAAAAUGUUAUGACCGUCACAGCCCUGCUCUUCUCUCUCUCUCUCUAACCCCUCCACACCAGAUUGCCCAUGUCUGUUUUCAAUCUUGGCCGUCUUCCUAAUUUCUCCUUUCCCAGGAUAUGAGCGGAUGGCCUGAAGAUUCAUACCGCCAGCCAGCAGCUGACUAAGGACUUUUUUUUGUUAGCGAGAGAGUGCCCCAUGAGAGAGAACGGGGGGGGGGACAGAGAGGGAGAGAUGAGGGGGCAGGGGGUAAAUUGGACCGUGCACAAACUCUCCUUUAAUUGUGUGAGUCAAUGUGAAGGCCCAGCAGCACUAAUUAGAGGGAUGUAGAGGGCCCAGUAGUUAUUAGAUAGGAGGGCAGUUACAACACAACCCAGGGAGUUAAGAAGGAACAACAACACAGUCUUCAGAACAGGACCGGCUCAGAGCAGAGUGGGACCCACCUCACAGUCUAAUACCACUGCAACAGUAAACUAGUGUAAUACUUUAGACAAGAUAUUGUCUCGUUCUCUACAGCCAGAAGUGAGUACAUCGUGCAGUAUAAACUUUGCACAGAUCACGGCACAACUGACACUACCAAAUCAUCAAUGAUGAUAUUGCCCAUUGCUACUGCAACUCCUACAUCUACUGUGACACUAAAGACAACAUCUACUGUAACACUAAAGACACAUCUACUGUAACACUAGAAACACAUACUGUAACACUAAAGACAACAUCUACUACAACACUAAAGACGGAUCCACUGUAACACUAAAUACACAUCUACUGUAACACUAAAGACAACAUCUACUACAACACUAAAGACACAUCUACUGUAACACUAGAGACACAUACUGUAACACUAAAGACAACAUCUACUACAACACUAAAGACAACAUCUACUGUAACACUAAAUACACAUCUACUGUGACACUAAAGACAACAUCUACUGUAACACUAAAGACACAUCUACUGUAACACUAGAAACACAUACUGUAACACUAAAGACAACAUCUACUACAACACUAAAGAUGGAUCCACUGUAACACUAAAUACACAUCUACUGUAACACUAAAGACAACAUCUACUACAACACUAAAGACACAUCUACUGUAACACUAGAGACACAUACUGUAACACUAAAGACAACAUCUACUACAACACUAAAGACACAUCUACUGUAACACUAAAUUCACAUCUACUGUAACACUAAAGACAACAUAUACUGUAACACUAGAGACACAUACUGUAACACUAAAGACAACAUCUACUACAACACUAAAGACGGAUCCACUGUAACACUAAAUACACAUCUACUGUAACACUAAAGACAACAUCUACUACAACACUAAAGACACAUCUACUGUAACACUAAAUACACAUCUACUGUAACACUAAAGACAACAUCUACUACAACACUAAAGACACAUCUACUGUAACACUAAAGACACAUAUACUGUAACACUAAAGACAACAUCUACUACAACACCAAAGGCACAUAUACUGUAACACUAAAGAUACAUCUACUACAACACCAAAGACACAUCUACUGUAACACUAAAGACACAUCUACUACAACACUAAAUACACAUCUAUUGUACCACUAAAGACAACAUCUACAGUAACACUAAAGAUACAUCUACUGUAACACUAAAUACAACAUCUACUGUAACACUAAAGACACAUCUACUGUAACAAAAAAUACACAUCUACUUUAACACAAAAUACAACAUCUACUGUAACACUGAAGACACAUGUACUGUAACACUAAAGACACAUCUACUGUAACACUAAAUACACAUCUACUGUAACACUAAAGACAACAUCUACUACAACACUAAAGACACAUCUACUGUAACACUAAAGACACAUAUACUGUAACACUAAAGAUACAUCUACUACAACACCAAAGACACAUCUACUGUAACACUAAAGACACAUCUACUACAACACUAAAUACACAUCUAUUGUACCACUAAAGACAACAUCUACAGUAACACUAAAGAUACAUCUACUGUAACACUAAAUACAACAUCUACUGUAACACUAAAGACACAUCUACUGUAACAAAAAAUACACAUCUACUUUAACACAAAAUACAACAUCUACUGUAACACUGAAGACACAUGUACUGUAACACUAAAGACACAUCUACUGUAACACUAAAUACACAUCUACUGUAACACUAAAGACAACAUCUACUACAACACUAAAGACACAUCUACUGUAACACUAAAGACACAUAUACUGUAACACUAAAGAAAACAUCUACUACAACACCAAAGACACAUCUACUGUAACACUAAAGAUAAAUCUACUACAACACCAAAGACACAUCUAUUGUAACACUAAAUACACAUCUACUGUAACACUAAAGACAACAUCUACUACAACACCAAAGGCACAUAUACUGUAACACUAAAGAUACAUCUACUACAACACCAAAGACACAUCUACUGUAACACUAAAGACACAUCUACUACAACACUAAAUACACAUCUAUUGUACCACUAAAGACAACAUCUACAGUAACACUAAAGAUACAUCUACUGUAACACUAAAUACAACAUCUACUGUAACACUAAAGACACAUCUAGUGUAACAAAAAAUACACAUCUACUUUAACACAAAAUACAACAUCUACUGUAACACUGAAGAUACAUGUACUGUAACACUAAAGACACAUCUACUGUAACACUAGAGACACAUACUGUAACACUAAAGACACAUCUACUGUAACACUAAAGGCACAUCUACUGUAACAAUAAAGACACAUCUAAUGUAACACUAAAGACAACAUAUACUGUAACACUAAAGACAACAUAUACUACAACAUAUACUGUAACAAUAAAGACACAUCUACUAUAACACUAAAGACACAUCUACUAUAAUACUAAAUACACAUCUACUGAAACACCAGUAGUAGUAGUAGCACUGGGAGCCACCGACACAGAGAAUAGUGAGACGCUGGACAGAGGAGGCAGACUCACUGCUGCAGGAUUGUUUUGAGAAUACUGAUUGGAUUAUUUGUUCAAAGAAUUAUCCAACCAGGACUCAUCCAUCAACAUUGAGGAAUAUACAUUGUCAGUCACAGGCUUCUUUAGGAAAUGUAUUGAUGAAUUUGUACCCACAAUAACAAUCCCGACAUAUCCCAAACAAAAACCCUG